rnacentral:lncRNA from 1 species
UCACAACACGCUUCUUCCCUUCCGGCCACCACUCCGACGACAUCAAAACGGCGUCGGAGAAGAAGAAUAUUAUUCAUACCACCGAGAGAGAGAGAGAGACGAAGGUGUAAUUACAGUUUCCAUUCACUUCUCCACCAGAGUUUCACUUCAACUCUGAUUUUCAUCGGUUCAAUUAAGGGCAAAAUCUGGUAAGAAGCAAUCAUUAGAAGAUAUGCUGGUGGCAAAAUUGCACAUUCUGCAAUGAGGUUGCCUUAAAUAAGGGUGUCAGUUAAGUAAAUCGGUAUAUCUCAAUCGCUGCGUCGAUUGUUUCACGCAGGUUCAAUAUGUAUAAGUAGGGAACGAUUGUCAAACGUCAUUCAGUAAUCAGAAAUUUAAUGGAAAAGGCUAUAGUCUGCAGGCCCAUCAUCUCUCGUAUCCCCUGCAUCAAUUAACACAAGACACUACUAACGGCACCAAGUUUUACGGCUUGACAAAUGAUAGAUAGAUAUGGAGUAAGGACGAAAGCUGGUAAGAAGCAAUCAUCAGAAGAUGCUGGUGUCAAAAUUGUACAUUCUGCAUGAGCUUUAAUUCGAUGGCACAAUGAACUUGCCUUAAAUAAGUGGGACAGGUAAAAGUGCUAUACGAUGAAAUACGACUUCGUUCACACCUCACUGACCGGUGGAUACAGUUAGACUAUGAUCUGUAACGCCAGUAUGUAGAGGUUACCUAAUUUGAUGCUGAUUAUAUUAAACGGACAUUUGAAAUUUAGUGACGUUAUAUGACUGGGUUAUUAAAUUACUGUUCAUUCUUAUGCUGUCAGUUUACUGUUUCAUUGUUUCUGAUGUUCUAUCAAACUCUGCAUUUUGAUAUAAGAUUCUU